rnacentral:lncRNA from 1 species
CUGAAUGAAGCUACUAGAUUGUUCAAAGAAAUGGUUGGUAGGGAUGUUAUGCCAAAUACAGUGACCUUCACUAUUUUGGUUGAUGGGCUGUGCAAAGAAGGAAUGGUUUCAGAAGCUCAGCGUGUCUUUGAAACAAUGACUGAAAAGGGUGUAGAGCCAAAUAUUUACACUUACAAUGCUUUGAUGGAUGGGUACUGUUUACAGCGCCAAAUGAAUGAGGCCAAGAAGGUGUUUGAAAUCAUGAUUCGUGAAGGUUGUGCACCUGAUGUACAUAGUUACAACAUCUUGAUCAAUGGAUAUUGCAAAAGUAGAGGGAUGGAUGAGGCAAAAUCACUCCUUGCUGAAAUGUAUCGUAAAGCAUUGAAUCCUGAUACUGUCACCUACAGCACUCUUAUGCAAGGUCUGUGCCAAUUAGGAAGACCCAAGGAAGCUCUCAAUCUUUUCAAGGAGAUGUGUUCUUCUGGUCUGCUUCCAGAUAAGAUGACUUACUCGAUUUUGCUAGAUGGCUUCUGCAAACAUGGAUAUUUGGAUGAGGCAUUAAAACUGCUCAAGUCAAUGCAAGAGAAGAAAGUAGAACCUGAUAUCGUCCUUUGCACUAUUCUUAUUGAAGGCAUGUUUAUCGCUGGGAAGCUUGAAGUUGCGAAGGAACUAUUUUCCAAGCUUUUUGCGGAUGGAAUUAUGCCUACUAUACGGACAUACACUGUCAUGAUCAAGGGACUGCUGAAAGAGGGGCUGUCAGAUGAAGCAUACCAUUUAUUUAGAAAAAUGGAAGAUGAUGGCUUCUUGCCGGACAGUUGCUCAUAUAAUGUUAUCAUUCAAGGAUUUCUUCGAAAUCAGGACUCAUCAACUGCUAUACGACUUAUUGAUGAAAUGGUUGGCAAGAGAUUCUCGGCGGAUUCAUCUACAUUUCAGAUGUUACUGGAUCUGGAAUCUCAUGAUAAAAUCAUAAGUCGAUUUAUGCGUGGAAGCUCUCAAGGUAGAAAAAUAAAGUGACAUUUUCCUAUCAAGUGAUGUUGUAGGCUGAUGAGCCUCUUGUGAGUUCUAACGAUACUCUGUUCUUUAACUUUAAUGAUGAUCUGUAACAUCUAGGGUGACUUCCUGUGAUCUGUUUUGGCACUGUCAUGAUCAAGGGACUGCUGAAAGAAGGGCUGUCAGAUGAAGCAUACGAUUUAUUUAGAAAAAUGGAAGAUGAUGGCUUCUUGCCGGACAGUUGCUCAUAUAAUGUUAUCAUUCAAGGAUUUCUUCAAAAUCAGGACUCGUCAACUGCUAUACGACUUAUUGAUGAAAUGGUUGGCAAGAGAUUCUCGGCGGAUUCAUCUACAUUUAAGAUGUUACUGGAUCUGGAAUCUCAUGAUAAAAUCAUAAGUUGAUUUAUGCGUGGAAGCUAUCGAUAGAAAAAUGAAGUGACAUUUCCCUAUCAAGUGACGUUGAAGGCUGCUUAACCACUUGUGAGUUAUCACAAUACUCAGUUCCUUAACUCUAUUGAAUUGUUUGUAACAUCUAGGGUGACUUCUAGGGAUCUGUUUUUGGUACUAGAUCUCACCUUGCAUUGUGUAUUGACUUGAAUCUGUGUAUAAAGUACAGAGUGUACAGUAACCAGUCUUGUUUUCCUUUAUGCGAUGAAUUUGUAACUUGAAAUAAGCAUUUCAAGUUUUGAAUUUGCAACUAACAUUGUGACCUCUACUAAUCCUAGCAAAGGAAUGAUUCAAAAAAGUGAACUCGAGGGUUCUCUUCAUCUUGUUCUUUUAUCCAAGUUACAGCAGGUUUUCUUGGAGCUGAUCUGAAUGUGCUGUUGACAAGGCUGGCAGGCUAUCUGUAGAGAGAACUGGUUUGUAGAGUCUCAUCUAUCCUGAGAAUCUACAAUUUCAGAACACAUGCGGAAAUGGUGGAGGAUACCUCGGUUGCCAUCAUUUGAAAAUCUACAGUUUUAACGGUUUUCUUGAAAAGAGGUACUCUACAGAAGCAGUAACACAAGCUUAGGUUUAUUUAUGCAUUUCAAGUGGUCAUUUGCAUGGUACUCGAAUUGCUUGAUUCAGGUUUUGAUUUCCAGAGUCUGCAGACAAGUUGUCUUAAGUGGAUGGGUGCUUGUCUUUAUGGUAUACACUCGCAAAAAGUCCUGCGUGCUGCUUCUCAUUUCUCAGUCCCAAUUAAUACUUCUUGUUGCUGUACAAGGAGGCUUGUCUCUCCACCCAUCGUGUAACAAGGCUUGCUCAACUCCUUUAAGCUUUGCUGGUGUUCUAUUCUUCUUGGCUAAAUGAAGUGUUUGGACAAUAUUGACCAGGUACAUUACUACUUUGCUCGAUCAGGAUUAAACUGCAAUUCUGCAGAAAAUGAGGUGAGGGGAUUUAAGAAGGAUUCUUGCCAUUAGAACAUCUUGUCGUUCCUUUGAUUAAUGCCAAAUUGUAUGCAGCAGCUUUCGAGCCUUCAAAGAAAAUUAUAUCUUUAAUCUUGAGUUAAAUAUUAUCUUAAUCCAAAAAAUUGAACUGUGAAAUCUGAUAAAUUGUUGUAUUCCCUCAAUUUGAAGUUGCUGGUUCCCUUUUUUGAUUCUCAUCAAUUGGAUUUAAAAACAUUGAGAAGGUAAUAACCAUUCUUCAUGAACUUAAAGUUGGUAUCACAGAAAAAUUAAAACUGCAUAUUCGCAUGGAGUUUCAGCGUUAAAGCAGUUGGCAUUAUUUGAGCCAAUCCCUGAUGUAUUUGACAGGGAGCAGCACUGUCACAACCCGAAUUCCGGGUCCGUGACCGGCAACGCAAGAGCGGUGUCGAAAGGACACCUUACCUACGCUAAGCCUCAGAACGGACAUAUCAAAAGAACAAUUUAUUCAAAAAUACACAACGUCUUAUAAUCUUCAAAAAUAUCAUAUAAUUCAAAACCCGAAAAAUAGUUAUUAAAACAAAAAUAAUAAUUCAUAAUACUCAUUACAUUGUCAAAAUCCAAACUUAAUUAAACCAAGGUAACAGUAGAGCGUCUAAGAUAUCAAAUCAAAACUGAAAGGAAAGCCUCGCAAACAAUCAAGGCAUACCGACCAGAACUGAAGAAGCGGAAACACUCAACAAAGUCCGACUGCUAUUAGAAACUAAAAACCUGGAAUAAUAUUAAGAAUGAGGGUGAGUUCAACCAACUCAGUGAGGGAAUAACAUUUAAUAUACAUAUACAUAUACUUACUAAACAUAUUAUCAUAACGUAACAUAUUAUCAUAACAUAGUGGAUUACAUGUCAGAGAUCAGAUGACACCCGUAGGUGACCAGAUGACACUCGUCGGUGACCACUGUGGGAUGAUCAAUCACCACAGGCUGAUGCCUCUCUCACCAGCUAGGUAACAGAAUACUAUGUGCACACAGACUAACAACUCUCCGUUAGCAUGGAGUUACUGACAAGUCCCAUAUCAAGGCAUAAUAGAUAUUCACAAAAUCAUCAAAGAAACGUAUAUCAUAUCAAAUAGAAUUUACUUUAUCAGAUUGCGAGUGCAAAUUCAAGAAUAAAUGAGUACUCGAAAAAUAAAGCAACAUAUUAAAUAUUCAAGAAAUUUACUAGUUGUACUCAUUGUAUAAUCAAUAUACAUAUUUAUUUAUAUUAUAUGCAUAUUAAAGAUUAUUCCACUCACCUGACUCAAAAGCAAACAAAAGUCAAAAGCAGACACCGAAGAAAAUCCUAUUAAGGAUCGUUAGGAGAACCUACAAUAAAUAUAUGAAAUAUACUCAAAAGCAACUCAAAACAACACAAAUAAAAGAUUCCAAUGCAUAAAAGGAAACCAGGCUUAGUCUCCUAGGUUUAGGGACUAAAACGAUAAUUUUCCAAAACAGGGACCAAAAUGUAAUUUUACCAAAAUUUGAGGAACAAAUUGUAAAUAUAUAACCAUACUGAAAUUUGUCCACUAUUCAUCCUUAUCUUUGUCCAGAAUCUUGAAUUAUGCCCCAAGGUCCAAAAUGUGAUUUUAUCAAAAUUUUAGGGGUCAAAUCGUAAUUUGUCAAAUUGGAGGAUCAAAUUGAAAAUAUCAUAUAUUCCUAAUUAUAUUGGAAUUUUGCCCUUAAAUCAUCCUCAGUUCUGUUCAGAACCUCAAUUUAUGCCCCAGGGACCAAUCUGUAAUAUUUCCAAAGUUCGGGGACUAAACUGCAAUUUUCACAAAUUGAGGGACCAAAUUGAAUGUUCGUCAUCUUCAACCUCAAACCCAGAAUUUCAACAGAUCACCUACUGUUAUCCCCUGAUUUCUAACACAAAUUCACCAUUCAAACAAAACCAUAACUCAAAAUCAUUUUAUCUACAAUCUCUUAAAUUCAACUUAAUAAUCAAUUACCCACAAAAAUCAACCCCUAACCUUCAAAUUAAUUCAUCAAUAAACUCAAAACACAAACUUCAAAACUCUAAAAUUAAUCAAAACCGAAAUUAAACAUAUUAUACACUUCAAACCAUAAAUCUUACCUUUUAAACUUAUUUCCUCUACUUCUCUUCUCCUUCCUUUCCUUCUCUCUUUUCUUUUCUUUUCUUUUUCUUUCCCUUUCUCUCCCGUAGCUCUCUUUCUCUCAAAAUGAGAUCCCUCUUUUUUUUUUCUUCUUAUAUCUAUCAAUUAUUUGUCAAUUACCACACUACCCUUCAAUCAUUUAUACUCUCUCUUUAAGCCUCCAAGGGCUUUGUUGCCGUUUCCUAUCUUUUUAAUACAAAACAUCACAAGCACUAUUUUAGGCAUCAUAUAGCUAUAUCGUCAUCCCAGCUUAUUAUAUAAACAGAGCAUAAUUUGGGAAAUGUUGAGUGAUGAUUGAGAAGUGACUGGAUAAAACUAUUUUCCCUUGAUUUUUAAGUUUAUUUCAUAACUUCUGCUCUACAUAGAAUGUCAUGUUCUUUCUGAGGUGUUUCAGUGUUACUUUUAAAGAAAUCCUGUUAGCUGAGGGUUUUGGAGCAAGAACAGAGUAAAGUUGUUUCUUUUUUUCUUCAAAUCCAAAGACUAGAAGAAUAUUGAUCUCCUGUUCUUAGGAUUUUAAGGGCUUUUGGGUGUUUUAUUUUCUGAUUUGGCCUCAUCUAAUAAAUAUAACCAGCACUGGCCCUGCUCCAUGGAUUUGGAACUUCUUGUUUCCUACAAAAUAUUUCCCAGUUACACAUUCCACGGCAGCAUUUUUUCAAGUACUUGAGAUUGCAGUGCAAAUUACUUUCUAAAAUAGUUUUUUAUAUAAAAAUAAUUUUUUUUAAUUUUCAAUAUCAAUUUAUUAAAACUAUUAAAAAACAAUAAAAAUAAAUUAAUUAAUAUUUUCUCAAGCCAAAAAUAUUAAAAAAAACACAGCAUUGAUCCAUAUAUAUAUGCAUUUUGACAGUUUGCUAUGGAAUGUUUCUGUACUUGAAGCAUAUAAUUAGAGGAUAUAAUUUUUAAACUCAACUUGUUCAAACGAGGUUACAAGUUGAAUCUCAUGAAACUUGAUUAAUCCAAGUGGAUUUUUUAUGAUUUAGUUUAUCCAGUCAUAUAUGAUAAAAACUCAAUUGAAUCAUUGCUAAAAAAUUAUUUUUAAAAAAACUAUAUUAUUUUAAUAAAAAUGAAUCAUCCGAGUUAACUUAGUAGGUAGAUGACUUUCUUCGGCCAUCUGUUUCUCUGCUAGAGCAAGGAAGCUAGCCAGUGAAGCAGAGAUUCUUUUGAUGAAAAUCUGUGACCAAUUCACCAUUAUGCAUGUAUUAUAUCUACAAUUUCUGCUUAAUCAAGCAUGGAAUCUGUUGAAACAGCAGAGCAUUGACAAACAUCAAAUUUGUAUAAUACAAUGUCCAACCAUUGAUAGAAAUCACAAUAGCUAAAAAUCAACAUCAAAAGAGUAUAAAGCAUCAAGUAAACCACAUGGAUUAUUCAAAACCACAGCUUGAUUCAUCAUUUUUAUUGCUCCUGCUAUUAUCUUGAGAGGGAGGGGAGGGGGGUUGUGGUGGCGGUGGAAAAGACGGUGGUUUCAGCCAUUUGUGGUGGUAGAGAAGACAUGACAACGAACUUGGAGAGCGAGUGGGAGUGAAUACUGGUUGGGUAGCGUCUCUAUUAGACGAGGAUCAUUCUAGGCGAUAUUAAAUAAUAAAUUAAUAAAAAAAAGAUUGGGAUGACAUUAGGAUUUAGAACGAGGGAUCCAUGAUGGAGAUAAAUUAAUUAUUAACAUUUUUUUAUUUAAGAGUCGAUUUAAAUGUAAAUGUAAUUAUUUUUAAAAAUAUAUUUGUAUUUAAAAUUGUAUUAAAAUAAUAGUUUUUUUUUUUGAAAUUAUUUUUAAUAUUAACACUUUAAGACAACUUAAAAAUACAAAAAUAUUUUUUAAAUAACCUUUUUUUUUUUUCCAACUUUAGAUUUAAAACUUAAUUAUAAACAUGUUCUUAAUUGAAUAUAAAAACAAUCGUAUUUUUUAGAUUGUUUAAAAAAGGAUUAAAUUUAUGUUGAAAUCUAUGUUAAUUUAAGAAAUUUUUAAUUUUAAAAAAUAAUUUGAAUAUUUUUAAAAGAUUAGUUAAGAGUUAUUUAAUAUUUAUAAUUAACUUACAUUUUUUAUUUUUUGUUUAUAUAAGAGAUGGAGUUUUAAUCCUUGUCCAAAUAUUCUUUCUUUUAAAUUGUUUAUUUAUUUUAGGUGGUCAUAUUGAAGAAGAAUGCGAGUGAAAGUCAACAAGUGUUAUAGAGUCUUGGGCUUCAAAUAAAAAGUAACUGGUUCAGGCAAAGCUGAACCCAGGACACCCAGAACUGAGGAAGAGUCACGGGGUUGAGAGGAAAAAGCCUCUAUCUUCGGCUACGAAGGUGGAGAGGAACAGUCAGAGAGACAGCAUCUUUUUAACCUAACAAUGAUGGUGUUCAUGCGGAAAAGCGCUUUUAGAGCUUCUGCUUCUCAGCUUCAACAACGACAAAUGGAAAUGGGUAUCUUUCCUUCUUUCUUAUUCUUCAAUCAUCACCACAUCUCCACUUCUGCUUGUACUAAGAAACCUUCUCUGCCUCACAAAAAUGGCGGGUUUGUUAGUAAUAACAGCACUAACAUUAGUAUUGAUGAUGCUUUGGCUUCAUUCUAUCGCAUGGUCCGCGUGAAUCCUCGGCCAUCUGUUGUGGAAUUUGGCAAAUUCAUAGGGUCCUUCGCUAAAAAGAAACAGUAUUCAACUGUUGUCUCUUUGUGCAAUCAAAUGGAUUUGUUUGGAGUGACCCACAAUGUUUAUUCUCUAAGUGCAUUGAUUAACUGCCUUUGUCGCUUGAACCAUGUUGAUUUUGCUGUCUCUAUCAUGGGAAAGAUGGUCAAACUGGGUAUUCAACCUAAUGUUAUCACAUUCAAUACACUACUCAAUGGGCUUUGUAUGGAGGGAAAGAUUAAAGAGGCAGAAGAGUUGUUUAAUGAGAUGGUACGGCAAGGGCAUGAGCCCGAUGUAAUUAGCUAUAAUACUAUAAUCAAUGGUUUGUGCAAAACUGGCAACACCAGUAUGGCUGUUCACGUGUUCAAGAAGAUGGAACAACAUGGGUGUAAACCAGAUGUGGUGACAUAUAGUACAAUCAUAGACAGCCUUUGCAAAGAUAGGCUAGUUAAUGAUGCCAUGAAAUUCUUAUCUGAAAUGGUGGAGAGGGGCAUUCCAUCAAAUGUUUUUACUUACAGCUCCAUAGUCCAUGGUUUUUGCAAUUUAGGACAACUGAAUGAAGCUACUAGAUUGUUCAAAGAAAUGGUUGGUAGGGAUGUUAUGCCAAAUACAGUGACCUUCACUAUUUUGGUUGAUGGGCUGUGCAAAGAAGGAAUGGUUUCAGAAGCUCAGCGUGUCUUUGAAACAAUGAUUGAAAAAGGUGUAGAGCCAAAUAUUUACACUUACAAUGCUUUGAUGGAUGGGUACUGUUUACAGCGCCAAAUGAAUGAGGCCAAGAAGGUGUUUGAAAUCAUGAUUCGCGAAGG